GCACCAACUCUACGGCGAUGACGUCAUGAACAAGACGCUCGGUUCCAACGCACAGUUCACCUGAUGAGGGUCCAUAUUGCAGCAAACAGUAAGAAUGCCUUGGCUGCAGAGUUGAUGUAGGACCAUUUGUACUGCAGCGAUGACACAGUAAAAUAGUGGGCUAUUGAUGUCAAGCAGUAGGCAAUUAGUGGAAAUGCUGCAGCCGGUCCUGUUGCUGCUCGUGGCUUGCAGCUGUCCAUCGAAUCACUCUUUGUGAGCAUUUGUCAGAAGAAAACACUAGCAUUUAAAGGUAGAAUAUCAGAACAAAAGGGGUCAGAUGAUUAUUCAAAAGACUGCCCAAGAACAGAAACACUUGCUUAAAGAGAUCCAAAGAUACAACCGACAACCUAAUGGUGACCAUGUGGACACAGAAACUACAGUAACUGUCCAACAAAGCAGAAGAGAACAGGAUUUAACCUUGACGGGAACAGAACACAGGUUAUCCGAACGCAUUCACAGAGGAUGGGUCCAAGGGCCUCUUUGUGUACUGAAGAAAAGACUGCAGGAGCUCAGACUGAAACAGCAGCAGACUGUAGCGUGCACAUACAGAGGGAUUCUGGACUCAACUCCUAGCCUGAUGGAAGAAGAGGAAAGGGAAAUGGACUUGGAUGAUGACAUUAGCUCUGAGGAUGAAGAUGAGGAGGAGUAUGAUACAGCGGUGGGAUCGCUUUGGUUUCUAGACUUCAGAAACAUCUCUUUAAAUAUAUAUAUUUGAUUUAGUUUGAAAGUUGAGUUUUUU